GGGGUUGGAAAGAUUUUUUGGUCUGGGAUGGGCUCGCGGCCUAUCAGCUUGUUGGUGAGGUAAUGGCUCACCAAGGCGUCGACGGGUAGCCGGCCUGAGAGGGUGACCGGCCACACUGGGACUGAGACACGGCCCAGACUCCUACGGGAGGCAGCAGUGGGGAAUAUUGCACAAUGGGCGGAAGCCUGAUGCAGCAACGCCGCGUGAGGGAUGACGGCCUUCGGGUUGUAAACCUCUUUUAGCAGGGAAGAAGCGAAAGUGACGGUACCUGCAGAAAAAGCGCCGGCUAACUACGUGCCAGCAGCCGCGGUAAUACGUAGGGCGCAAGCGUUAUCCGGAAUUAUUGGGCGUAAAGAGCUCGUAGGCGGUUUGUCGCGUCUGCUGUGAAAUCCCGAGGCUCAACUUCGGGUCUGCAGUGGGUACGGGCAGACUAGAGUGCGGUAGGGGAGAUUGGAAUUCCUGGUGUAGCGGUGGAAUGCGCAGAUAUCAGGAGGAACACCGAUGGCGAAGGCAGAUCUCUGGGCCGUAACUGACGCUGAGGAGCGAAAGGGUGGGGAGCAAACAGGCUUAGAUACCCUGGUAGUCCACCCCGUAAACGUUGGGAACUAGUUG
rnacentral:rRNA from 1 species